rnacentral:misc_RNA from 1 species
AGGAUCAUUUAAGAGCGAGCCUUUAUGGCAAGCAUUAUAUCCAUAACAUUGUGAACUGUUGACCCACUUGUGGGUUAUUUUUACAAAACUUUGUGUAAUGAACGUAUAAAACUAUAAUCAAUAAAACUUUUAACAACGGAUCUCUUGGCUCUCGCAUCGAUGAAGAACGCAGCGAAAUGCGAUAAGUAAUGUGAAUUGCAGAAUUCAGUGAAUCAUCGAAUCUUUGAACGCACCUUGCACCUUUUGGUAUUCCGAAAGGUAUGCCUGUUUGAGUGUCUUGAAUUAUCACUUUAAAGAGUUUUUUCUCUCUAAAUGUGGAUUUGGGUGUUGCAAUCUGCUCACCUUAAAUGCCUUAGUGGUUCAAACCGUAGCCUAAUGUAAUAAGUUUCAUUAGGUCAAGGGGCGACUGCUUCUAAUUGCCCUUUGGGCUCUACUUUAAGAC